UACGGGGGGGGCAAGCGUUGUUCGGAAUUACUGGGCGUAAAGGGCUCGUAGGCGGCCAACUAAGUCGGAUGUGAAAUCCCCAAGCUUAACUUGGGAACUGCAUCCGAUACUGCCGUGCUUGAGGACUGGAGAGGAGACUGGAAUUUACGGUGUAGCGGUGAAAUGCGUAGAUAUCGUAAGGAAGACCAGUGGCGAAGGCGGGUCUCUGGACAGUGCCUGACGCUGAGGCACGAAGGUCAGGGGAGCAAACGGG
rnacentral:rRNA from 1 species